CUAAAUCCUUCUCUUCUACAAUGAAAAGACUGGAAAGAAGGAAAGGAGGAGAGAACUGAACAUUCACUUGUUGCCAGGAAAUGUGCCAGUUGAAGAGGUGCAGAAACGACACAACUACAGCACAUACAUUCCUUUCACCUCCGGAUGUGAACUGACACCUGGUAAAAAAUACAGGCCACUCUGUGAACCUCAUAAAUCCGAGCCAGAGGUUGAGAAAUUUCUCUGUGACUAUGGACCCAACUAUCACAUCACAUUUGAGGUGAUCCUUA